UACGGAAGGUCCGGGCGUUAUCCGGAUUUAUUGGGUUUAAAGGGAGCGUAGGCCGGAGAUUAAGCGUGUUGUGAAAUGUAGACGCUCAACGUCUGCACUGCAGCGCGAACUGGUUUCCUUGAGUACGCACAAAGUGGGCGGAAUUCGUGGUGUAGCGGUGAAAUGCUUAGAUAUCACGAAGAACUCCGAUUGCGAAGGCAGCUCACUGGAGCGCAACUGACGCUGAAGCUCGAAAGUGCGGGUAUCGAACAGGAUUAGAUACCCGAGUAGACUGACU
rnacentral:rRNA from 1 species